CGUCCUGUCGUCCCCUGGUCCCUAAGAUAAAAACACAGAACUCAGGUCCUGGGGGCCGGGGUCUUAGGGAUUCUUAGUGGACCCAGCUCUGCCCAGUGUCUUUGAGAGGGUCAGUUUGCCUUUCCGUCCAUCCCCUUUCACUCUGUCUGUUAGUGUGACUAGACUUCCUGGUAGGGAUGCUGCAGAAGACACCAGACAGGACAAGGGCACACUUUACAAACACGGUCUUGGUGGCCACCCGUGCCUUUGUUCUGACUUCUGGCCCCUUGUGGUCAUCUUGGGGAAGGACGCCAGGAUUUGGGCACAACAAGCUAGCAGUUACCCCUCUCUCUCCAGAGCUCUGCAGCCCGUCUGCGUUUCCAUCGGACGAUGCCGGGACGGAAACACCAUGUUCCAAACUGGAAACCUCUGUAAAGAAGGUGUAUCCUCAGAGUUGCCCAUGCUUGUCCAAUUAAAUGGGGAGAACGUGCAUCGAAACCACACCUGCCAACUUCGCCGCAGUGACAGAAUUCACCGGCUUCCCAGCUUCACAUCCCUCCUCACCCUUAGCCUGUCCGAAGUCCUGACGCCGAUCCUACACGUCUAAUAAACAGACAAACACGAGGAAACCCCCUCUGCAAUUUAGGAAGAGAAACACACGUGUUGUUGUUCUGCUUUAGCUGACGUGACCCAGCUCGGGCAGGAGCCUCGUGUUUGCACCCUGGAGCUCCCAGCCGGCACCCUGUUCUGCCAGGCUCAGCUCAUCCCAAGACCCUCCCAGGGCAGACUGGAAAAUACAGGAGCGCCUAGGAGCCCUGGUGGCGCAACGGUUAAGCACUCGGCUGCUAACCAAAAGUUUGGCUGUUGAAAAUCACCCCGCGGCUCUGCAGAAGGGAGACCUGGCAAUCUGCUCCAGUAAAGAUUCGGCCUAGGAAACCCUGUGGGGUAGUUCUGCCCUGUCACAGAGGGCUGCUGUGACUUGGAACUGACUUGACGGCACACAAGAACAACAACGCCAGACUUCUGAGGUCUGCCUGCUGCCCUUCCGCCCUGUGCCCCCGAGGUGCAUUCGAUGUGCCGUCUCAGCCCCUGCUCCUCUAGGGUUGGCGCCUGGGACAUGCAGUGUCCUGCAUGGAUUUAAAGGUAACAUGUUCUUCGGCUGGGACUAGGGGACGUGUCCCUGCUAGCUGGCUCUGCAAAGCCUUCUUUCUGGAGGUCUUGCUCUCGUUCUGCCUGCAUCUGGUCCUUACUUCCUACCACCCCACACUCUCACCCCGUGCACACCUCGCACAACACCCACAAGGACAGGGGGCCGCUCACCUGUAGCAGCAGCGGUGGAGGUGGUCUCUUCGAGAGCCCUAGAGCCAUGGGCUCAGGACCGUGGCUGACAGCUGCCUCCUCCUCGGAGCGUUGAACGAGCAGCUGUGCAGACCCAGGCGGUCCGCCUGCCUCUGGAUUACCCCGGGUCGGCAAACGGUCCUGUCCGAGUGGCUGCUAAGCUUCCGCAGGAGGUGGUAAAAGUGGCAUCACGCCCGUGGAUGGAGGCGUCCCGAUGCAAAUUCGGCACCGUCCUAAAGGAGCUGCAACUGCCACGGGGACCUGCUAAGGUGGAGAGGAAGCCCUGCGAAAUUUCCUGUGACUGUGCACUGGCUCUCAGCAGGGGCUGGACGCGCUGGAGCGCAGCGGGGGCCUGUGACUGUCACCUGGCACCCUGCCCGGGCGGGGCCGCUUCCCCAGCCCGUGACCCCCGAGAGGUGUUCUGGAAGGACAUGGAGGACCCCGCAGUGCCCACAUAGGCUUUCUGCAUAAAGGGCGCCCCUGGAGCCGGGAACGGAGAGGACCAUCGCCCUGAUCCUGCAAUGCUGGACAGAGGACUGAAGGGCGUUCCCAGACAGACCGGAUUCCUGAUUUUGAGGCUUGCGAGUUGGUACAGCAUAGAGAAUCAGAAGAUGGAAGGAGAACAACUCUGCAGAGAAGAUGCACCAAUGAGACCAUAGGUUCAAAAAUACUCAUUACAGCAAUAUUGUAGCUGAAAAACCAAUGAUAAAUCCAACUCUUCUUGUUGUUGUCGGGUGCCGUUGAGUUGGCUCCAACUCAGGACAACCUCAUGUAUAACAGAAUGAGAUGUUGCCCCAUCCUGCACCAUCCUCACACUAGUAGGUAUGCUUCCAGCUACCGUGUCAAUCCAUCAUGUUGAGGGGCUUCCUCUUUUUUGCUUUACCAAGCAGAUAUCCUUCUCCAGGGACUGGUCCCUCCUGAUAACAUGUCUGGACACCAAAGAAGAAUUGGCAGCUUUCCAUUACGGUAUUGGCAAAGAAGAAUAUUGAAUACACCAUGGACUGCCAGAAAAGCGAAUAGGUUUGUCUUGGAAGAAGUACAGCCAGAAUGCUCCUUAGAAGUGAGGAUGGUGAGACUUUGUCUCACGUACUUUGGGCAUAUUAUCAGGAGGGACCAGUCUCUGGAGAAAGACAUCAUGCUUGGAAAAGUAGACGGUCAGUGAAAAAGAGGAAGGGGAUUUACACAGUGACUGCAAUGAUGGGCUCAAACAUAGCAACAAUUGUGAGGAUGGCGCAGGACUGGGCAGUGUUUCCCUCUAUUGUCCAUGGGGUCUCUGUGGGUUGGAACUGACUCGAUGACACCUAACAACAACAACUUGUCCAAAGUAAGCGAGCCAAUGUCUCACCGUCCAAAAGAAGCCCUAGCCAAGGCUAAAAGUGUUCGGAGAGAUGGUUUUCAUACCUCUUUGCAAGGUCGGGCUGUAAUUAUCAGGCUGUUGAUGGUCCGAAGUCAUCCCAGACCUGCCAGGGGAGGUCUUGGCCUUUUUAUGAAUAUGUGGCUCUUUGAUAGGGAUCAGAAAAUUUUUUCACAAAGGGCCAGAUGGUAAAUAUUUUAGGCUUUGCAAACCACACGGUAUCUGUCACAACUACUCUCUGCUGUUACAUGGCAAAAGCAGCCACACACAAUAUGUUGCCGAAAUGGCGUGGCUGUGUGCUGAUAAAACUUUAUUGACAAAAACAGGCAAUGGGGGCCAGAUAACUCCAUGGGCUCUAGUUUGCUGAUCCCUGCUUUGUGUGUGUGAUUGACUUCAGGGUGGGCACCCUGAUAUAAAACAGACAGGAGGCUCAUCCCUGGCAUAAUGACCAGGGUGGUUAAUUAAAUGGUUUGCACUUAACUACUAACCUAGAGGUCGUUGGUUCACACUCACGCAGUGGUACCGCAGAAGAAAAGACCUGGCAAUCUGCCUCUGUAAAGAUUACAUCCUUGAAAACCUUAUGGGGCAGUUCUUCUCUGUCACAUGGGGUCGCUAGGAGUAAGAAUUGACUCAAGGGCACCUAACGACAACAUGAACCCAUGAAACUGUAUAUCGAGUUUUGUGUGUGUGUGUGUCAGGAAAAUGGACUCAGAGCCCCCACUGGAUGUCAAAGGUGUCUGCAGGCCCCAGGAAGAUUAAACUUGCUUAUGCGGAGGUCAGGAGUUUGGGCAGAAGCAAGGAACUGAGCUAGAGUUAUUUGGGACUGAAUCUCAGAUUGGGAAAAGGGGACAGGAUGUGUCAGCACCCCCAAGGGAGCUGAGGCCUUGGUGCUGACAGAGUAAUGAAAGCCAGCAAGUCUCAGAGGAAGGGAAGGACGGAAAUAGAAGUGCCGCCAGCCAUGAGGGCUACCAUGGGAAUGGGGCCGGAUGUUUCCAGGGAGACCCUUGGAAGAUUGACCGUGAAUUUGCAGAUUCCUAGGCUGUGGGCUACGGCUCCUCCAAAGACACCCACCAAGGGGACAAGACAAUGGUGGCCUGUUGAUGUAGCUUGGUCGAGUCAGCGUGGGAGAUGGAUGUCUGUCCUGGGUGGUCAGUGUCCUCGCACUGGUCAGAGCAGGCACAGAGUCAGUGUGGGAGAUGGACGUCUAUUCUUGGUGGUCAGUGUCCUCACAGUGGACAGAGCAGACACAGAGUCAGUGUGGGAGAUGGACGCCUGUCCUUGGUGGUCGGUGUCCUCACGCUGUACAGAGGAGCAGACACAGAGUCAGUGUGGGAGAUGGACACCUGUCCUUGGUGGUCAGUGUCCUCACAGUGGACAGAGCAGACACAGAGUCAGUGUGGGAGAUGGAUGUCUGUCCUUGGUGGUCGGUGUCCUCACACUGUACAGAGGAGCAGACACAGAGUCAGUGUGGGAGAUGGACACCUGUCCUUGGUGGUCAGUGUCCUCACAGUGGACAGAGCAGACACAGAGUCAGUGUGGGAGAUGGACGUCUAUUCUUGGUGGUCAGUGUCCUCACAGUGGACAGAGCAGACACAGAGUCAGUGUGGGAGAUGGACACCUGUCCUUGGUGGUCAGUGUCCUCACAGUGGACAGAGCAGACACAGAGUCAGUGUGGGAGAUGGACGCCUGUCCUUGGUGGUCGGUGUCCUCACACUGUACAGAGGAGCAGACACAGAGUCAGUGUGGGAGAUGGACACCUGUCCUUGGUGGUCAGUGUCCUCACAGUGGACAGAGGAGCAGACACAGAGCCAGUGUGGGAGAUGGAUGUCUGUCCUGGGUGGUCAGCGUCCUCACAGUGAACAGAGGAGCAGACACAGAGUCAGUGUGGGAGAUGGACGUCUGUCCUGGGUGGUCAGUGUCCUCACAGUGGACAGAGGAGCAGACACAGAGUCAGUGUGGGAGAUGGACGUCUGUCCUUGGUGGUCAGUGUCCUCAUGCUGUACAGAGGAGCAGACACAGAGUCAGUGUGAGAGAUGGACGCCUGUCCUUGGUGGUCGGUGUCCUCAUGCUGUACAGAGGAGCAGACACAGAGUCAGUGUGGGAGAUGGACACCUGUCCUUGGUGGUCAGUGUCCUCACAGUGGACAGAGCAGACACAGAGUCAGUGUGGGAGAUGGACGCCUGUCCUUGGUGGUCGGUGUCCUCACACUGUACAGAGGAGCAGACACAGAGUCAGUGUGGGAGAUGGACACCUGUCGUUGGUGGUCAGUGUCCUCACAGUGGACAGAGGAGCAGACACAGAGUCAGUGUGGGAGAUGGACACCUGUCCUUGGUGGUCAGCGUCCUCACAGUGGACAGAGGAGCAGACACAGAGUCAGUGUGGGAGAUGGACGCCUGUCCUUGGUGGUCGGUGUCCUCACGCUGGACAGAGGAGCAGACACAGAGUCAGUGUGGAAGAUGGAUGUCUGUCCUUGGUGGUCGGUGUCCUCACGCUGUACAGAGGAGCAGACACAGAGUCAGUGUGGGAGAUGGACACCUGUCCUUGGUGGUCAGUGUCCUCACAGUGGACAGAGCAGACACAGAGUCAGUGUGGGAGAUGGAUGCCUGUCCUUGGUGGUCGGUGUCCUCACACUGUACAGAGGAGCAGACACAGAGUCAGUGUGGGAGAUGGACACCUGUCCUUGGUGGUCAGUGUCCUCACAGUGGACAGAGGAGCAGACACAGAGCCAGUGUGGGAGAUGGACGUCUGUCCUGGGUGGUCAGUGUCCUCACAGUGGACAGAGGAGCAGACACAGAGCCAGUGUGGGAGAUGGAUGUCUGUCCUGGGUGGUCAGUGUCCUCACAGUGGACAGAGGAGCAGACACAGAGUCAGUGUGGGAGAUGGACGCCUGUCCUUGGUGGUCGGUGUCCUCACACUGUACAGAGGAGCAGACACAGAGUCAGUGUGGGAGAUGGACACCUGUCCUUGGUGGUCAGUGUCCUCACAGUGGACAGAGGAGCAGACACAGAGUCAGUGUGGGAGAUGGACACCUGUCCUUGGUGGUCAGCGUCCUCACAGUGGACAGAGGAGCAGACACAGAGUCAGUGUGGGAGAUGGACACCUGUCCUUGGUAGUCAGUGUCCUCACAGUGGACAGAGCAGACACAGAGUCAGUGUGGGAGAUGGACGCCUGUCCUUGGUGGUCGGUGUCCUCACAGUGGACAGAGGAGCAGACACAGAGUCAGUGUGGGAGAUGGACACCUGUCCUUGGUGGUCAGUGUCCUCACAGUGGACAGAGGAGCAGACACAGAGCCAGUGUGGGAGAUGGACGUCUGUCCUGGGUGGUCAGUGUCCUCACAGUGGACAGAGGAGCAGACACAGAGCCAAUGUGGGAGAUGGAUGUCUGUCCUGGGUGGUCAGUGUCCUCACAGUGAACAGAGGAGCAGACACAGAGUCAGUGUGGGAGAUGGACGUCUGUCCUGGGUGGUCAGUGUCCUCACAGUGGACAGAGGAGCAAACACAGAGUCAGUGUGGAAGAUGGACGUCUGUCCUGGGUGGUCAGUGUCCUCACAGUGGGCAGAGGAGCAGACACAGAGCCAGUGUGGGAGAUGGACGUCUGUCCUUGGUGGUCGGUGUCCUCAUGCUGUACAGAGGAGCAGACACAGAGUCAGUGUGGAAGAUGGACGUCUGUCCUGGGUGGUCAGUGUCCUCACAGUGGACAGAGGAGCAGACACAGAGUCAGUGUGGAAGAUGGACGUCUGUCCUGGGUGGUCAGUGUCCUCACAGUGAACAGAGGAGCAGACACAGAGUCAGUGUGGGAGAUGGACGUCUGUCCUUGGUGGUCAGUGUCCUCACAGUGGACAGAGGAGCAGACACAGAGCCAGUGUGGGAGAUGGAUGUCUGUCCUGGGUGGUCAGCGUCCUCACAGUGAACAGAGGAGCAGACACAGAGCCAGUGUGGGAGAUGGAUGUCUGUCCUGGGUGGUCAGUGUCCUCACAGUGAACAGAGGAGCAGACACAGAGUCAGUGUGGGAGAUGGACGUCUGUCCUGGGUGGUCAGUGUCCUCACAGUGGACAGAGGAGCAGACACAGAGCCAGUGUGGGAGAUGGAUGUCUGUCCUGGGUGGUCAGUGUCCUCACAGUGAACAGAGGAGCAGACACAGAGUCAGUGUGGGAGAUGGACGUCUGUCCUUGGUGGUCAGUGUCCUCACAGUGAACAGAGGAGCAGACACAGAGUCAGUGUGGGAGAUGGACGCCUGUCCUGGGUGGUCAGUGUCCUCACAGUGGACAGAGGAGCAGACACAGAGUCAGUGUGGGAGAUGGACGUCUGUCCUGGGUGGUCAGUGUCCUCACAGUGGACAGAGGAGCAGACACAGAGUCAGUGUGGGAGAUGGACGCCUGUCCUGGGUGGUCAGUGUCCUCACAGUGGACAGAGGAGCAGACACAGAGUCAGUGUGGGAGAUGGACGUCUGUCCUUGGUGGUCAGUGUCCUCACAGUGGACAGAGGAGCAGACACAGAGUCAGUGUGGGAGAUGGACGUCUGUCCUGGGUGGUCAGUGUCCUCACAGUGGACAGAGGAGCAAACACAGAGUCAGUGUGGGAGAUGGACGUCUGUCCUUGGUGGUCAGUGUCCUCACAGUGGACAGAGGAGCAGACACAGAGUCAGUGUGGGAGAUGGACGCCUGUCCUGGGUGGUCAGUGUCCUCACAGUGGACAGAGGAGCAGACACAGAGCCAGUGUGGGAGAUGGACGCCUGUCCUUGGUGGUCAGCGUCCUCACAGUGGACAGAGGAGCAGACACAGAGCCAGUGUGGGAGAUGGACGUCUGUCCUGGGUGGUCAGUGUCCUCACAGUGAACAGAGGAGCAGACACAGAGCCAGUGUGGGAGAUGGACGCCUGUCCUGGGUGGUCAGUGUACUCACACUGGUCAGAAGAGCACACAGAGGUGAUGUAUGGUAGCCCCCCUGCUAGGCCAGCCACCUCCUUACCCCUGGUGUUGUGGCAGAGCCCCUAUUUUGUCUGAGUGUCUACCCAGAAUGGGUACCCUGUCAGCCUCUGGGUUGAAAGCUGAUCCGUUGUAGUCAAUUGUGAAGAUGUUGACCCACGUGCAGAAAUGGGUUUUGAUACUCUAGGGACUUCCAAAGAGAUACAUUAGAGGACCUGUGAAUGGAACCUUAUUUGGUAAAAAGGUCUUUCUAGACAUGAUUAAGGGAAAUAUCUAAAGAUGAGAUCAUCCUGGAUUAAGAUGCACCCUGAACCCAACAACAAGUGUCCUUAGGCAUCAGAGGAGAAGUCCUGCAGUGAAGGAGGGGGUGAAGACGGAGGCAGAGAUUGGAGUGAUGAGACCUGCUAUGGAUGGAAUUGUGUCCCCCCCAAAAUGUGUGUUGGAGUCCUGUCUGCUGUACUUGUGGAUGUGACCCCUGCCCACACUGCACCUGCCAUCUGGUAGAUAGUCUGCGUUGGUUUGUGGAAGAUACCAUUUCAUAACGCAGGGUGCAGGGUGGUGAACGGUGACCCCAACAACAUGUGUUCACGUCCAGGAACCUGGAACCUGUGAAUGGAACGUCACUUGGUAAAAGGCUUGCCUUAGGCUGGGUUCUCUAGAGAAGCAAAAUCAGUGAUGUAUAUAUAUAGAGAGAGAGAGAGAGAGAGAUAUUUAUAUCAAGGAAACGGCUCAUGUGGCUAUAGAGACUGGAAAGUCCCAAGUCUGUGAGUCAGACAUCAGGCUGGAAGCUUCUCCUGACUCACAUAGCUGCAGGGGCUGGUGAACCCAAGAUAAGUUGCUAGAAGGUAAGCUGCUAGCUCAAGUCCCAAGAACUAGAGGUCAAAUGAGGAUGCAAAGCAAGCCAAAGCCAGCAAACUUUGCCAGAAAGUUCACACACAACGGAUGCAGGCAACACCCCCAAGGAAACUCCCUUUCAAAUGACUGGCUGUUCACAGCAGAUCUCAUCAUGGAGGUGAUUACAUUAUGUAAGAUCUCAUCAUAAAGAUGAUUACAUCAGCUCUCAUCAUGAAGAUGGUUACAUUAUAUCACAACUCAUCAUGGAGGUGAUUACAUUAUGUCUGGUCUCAUCAUGGAGGUGAUUACAUUGUAUCAGGUCUCAUCACGGAGGUGAUUGCAUCAUUACAUAACUGCCAACCUACAUCAUAACUGCCAAAUCCCUGAGAAUCAUGGCCCAGCCAAGUUGACACACAACCUUCACCAUCACAAGGGUGUUUGUAGAUGUGAUCAGGGUGAGCCUCUUAGCAGGAGAUGAUCCUGGAUCACUCUGUCUUAAGUCUUCUAGCGUUGCUAUAACAGAAAUACCACAAGUGGAUGGCUUUAACAAACAGAAAUGUAUUUUCUUACAGUUCAGGAGGCUAGAAUUCAGGUCGCUGGCUCUAGGCAAGGCUCUCUCUCUCUCUCUCUGUUGGCUCUGGAGGAAGGUCCUUGUUUCUUCUGCUUGUUUCCUGGUUCCUUGGUGGUCUUCAUGUGGCAUCUGUCUUCCCCAUCUCUGCUUGCUUAAUCUACUCCUUUUAUAUCUCGAAAGAGAUUGACUCAAGACACACCCUACACUAAUACUGCCUCCUUAACAUAACGAAGAAAACGUAAUCCCAAAUGGGAUUCUAACCACAAGUGUUGUUGUUGUUGUCAGGUGCCGCCGAGUCGGUUCCGACUCAUAGUGACCCUAUGUACAACAGAACGAAACACUGCCUGGUCCUGUGCCAUCCUUACAAUCGUCGUUAAACCACAGGUAUAGGGGUUAGGGUUUACAACAUAUAUUGAAUUGGGGGACACAAUUCAAUCCAUAACAGGCCCUAAAUCCAAUGACAGGUUCCCUUAUAAGGGGCACACAGAGGAGAAAGCCAUGUGAAGAUGGAGGCAGGAACUGGAGUGACGUGUCUACAAGCCCAGGACACCAAGAAUUGCCAGCCAACACCAGAAGCUGGGAGAGAGGCAUGGAAUAGAUUCUGUCUCUGAGCCUCAGAAGAAAUCAACACGCCUGACACCCUGAUCUCUCACUCCCAGUCUUCAGAACCCUGAGGGAAUAAAUUUCAUCUCAUUUGCUGUUAUGUGUUGAGUGUUGUUGAUAGGUGCCAUACAGUCAGAUCUGACUCAGAGCGACCCUCUGUACAACAGAACAAAACACUGCCCAUCCUGCCCCAUCCUCACAAUCCUUGUUAUGCUUGAGCCCAUUGUUGCAGCCCCUGUGUCAAUCCAUCUCAUUGAGGGUCUUCCUCUCUUUCCCUGACCCUCUACUUUACCAAGCAUGAUGUCCUUCUCCAGGGACUGGUCCCUCCUGAUAACAUGUCCAAAGUACAUGAGACGAAGCCUCACCGUCCUUGCUUCUAAGGAGUAUUCUGGUUGUACUUCUUCCAAGACAGAUUUUUCAUUCUGGCAGUCCACGGUAUAUUCAGUAUUCUUCGCCAACCUCACAAUUCAAAGGCAUCAACUCUUCUUUGGUCUUCCUUAUUCAUUGUCCAGCUUUUGCAUACAUAUGCAAAUAUGAGUUGAGUGGUAGUCCCCCAAAAAGAAAUGCUGUAACCCUUGCCCACACCUUGAUUUUAGAUUUCUGACCUCCAGAACUGUGAGAGCUUAAACCCCUGUGGUCUUAAACAACCUGGUUCGUGGUUUUUUGUUACAGCUGCCCCAGGAAGCUUAUGCUGCCGGGCUGUCAGAAUGCUGCUCUGGGUACCAUUUUAGCACUGUUUAUCUCACCCGUUUCUCACUGUCACCCCUCAUCUCCUACCCUCUCUGUUAAAUGCACAUCUUGUUAUCUUUAUCAUCAGAGACGGUGCUGCAAUGAUUCAGCCAGGUAUUAACACUUGAGCAGAAACUCACACCUUCCAGCCACGUCCAGCCUGGAGUGGCCAGGGGGCUGCCAGGACCUGCUCAGAGACCCCACUUCUCCCUGCUCCAUGGGCCUGAAGGGGCAACUGGGAGGCGAGGACCUGGGGACGCAGUGGAGACACAGGCUGUCUUGGCUUCCCCGGUUCUGCGUCUCCUCUGCCCUUCUUUGAUUGCCUGGAGGGUAGGCAGCCCCCUACCCUAGCAGAUCUGUGAUGCCUCAGCUGCUCCUUCAACCUGAGCAGCCCUGGGCAGACCCAGUGUUUACUGAGAAGCACUGGUGAGCCGGUAGAGGAAGCGCCCCGCCCUCCAACUAGCUCACCGCAGGGCUCUGUGAGCUGGGGGUGCUGUCCUCCCAGAGGCUGGUACCCACAAAACCAUGAGCAAAACAAGCGGGCGGGCACAAAAGGCUUGGGGAGAGGUCACUUUCCCAUAGGGCCGGGCACAAGGCUUGCUGCUGGCUCUCAAUUUCAUAAACAGUGCCAGGUUGUUAGAAAAAGAUAAUGGAGAACACCCAAACCAAAUCUGUUGCCAUGGAGUCAACUGCGGUUCAUGGAGACAGCACCUGUUACAGGGCACGAGGGCUCCACAGGGUUUUCUUGGCUAUGAUCUUUACGGAAGCAGACCACCAAGUCUUUUCUUCCGUGGUGCCUGUCAUGAAUUGAGUUGUGUCCCCUCAAAAAUGUGUGUCAACUUGGCUAGGCUGUGAUUCCCAGUAUUAUGUGAUUGUCCACCAUUGUCUCGUCUGAUGUGACUUUCCUACGUGUCGUAAAUCCUAACCUCCGUGAUGUUAACGAGGCAGGACUAGAGGCGGUUAUAUUAAGGAAGCAAGACACAACCUACAGGAUUAGGUUGUAUCUUGAGUCAAUCUCUUUUGAAACAUUAAAGACAGAAGCAAGCAGAGAGGAGAGAGACCUCCUUCCACCAAGAAAGAAGAGCCAGGAGCAGAGCGCAUCCUUUGGACCCUGAGUCCUUGCACUGAGAAGCUCCUCUACCAGGGGCAGAUUGAUGACAAGGACCUUCCUCCACACCUGACAGAGACAGAAAGCCUUCCCCUGGAGCUGGUGCCCUGAAUUCAGACUUCUAGCCUCCAAGACUUAGACUGCGAGAGAAUAAACCUCUGUUUGUUAAGGUCACCGAGUUGUGGUGUUUCUGUUAGAUCAGCACCGGGUGACUAAGACAGCAGGUUGGAACCUCCAACCUUGAAGUUAGUGUUAUUGUUGUUGUUAGCUUCCAUUGAAUCUGUUCCAACUCACAGUGAACCCAUGGGUGGUGUGAUGAGUUGCUUUUACAACCCUUUUCUCACCAUGGACUUGUCCCUCCUACAAAGUGAUUUAUGGUCAGUUUUGUCAUCCUGCUAGGCUUAAAAAAGAGAGCUGAUUCCAAGAAAGAAGAAACGGGAAUGGAGCAUGUCUUUGAACCCAGGGUCCCUGCGCUGAGAACCUCCUCGACCCAGGAGACAGAGAAACAGAGAGAGAAAGAGAAAGAGCUGUAACACCGGAGAUGGGACAAGAUGGUGAGAAGUGGUGGCUGCAGAAUCAGGAGUCUGGCGGGACACAGUGCAGUGAGCUUCAUGGCCCACAGAGCAAGGGGGCUACAGUUGGUGUGCUGACCUAGGAAGUGAGAGAGCUGAGCGCCUUUGGACUGAGGCUUCCUGGCAGAGGGGGGUUUCCCCAGGCACUUGUUGGCAGAGCUAAAGAGUUUUGUAAUACUUGCCCAAGCAGGGCAGGGGCCGAGAGCCGAGAGGCUGAGGGCCAGGGAGAGGUCUGCCUGUGGGCAUGGCUGAGAAGCUGCCCUGAUGGAACAACUGUAUCCUGAGUCAUUCCUGAUCCUGAUUUGUAACCUUUUACUUCCCUAAUAAACCCCAUGGUCACGAGUAUUGUCUGUGUGGCCACUGUGUGGCUGUUGCAACAGGGUAUCCAACCCAACAGAGAAGUAGAGAGUGCUGUGGGAAGGAUGGCUGGUGUCAGAACUGGUAAAAAAUUGGAAGGUGGAGGUAUGUUUGACCUCUGCUUCAUAGGAAACAGCUUUGGAUUGAAAUUGAUGGUGAUUCUCUCUUUCCUCGUGAAGUUAGAGGAGCUCAGAUGCCUUGGUGCUGCCAUGUUCAUGCCAUGCAUUACAGUGUACAACUGUGCUCUGUGGGGUCUUCUUGGCUGUGAUCUUUAUGGAAGCAGAUUGCCAGGCCUUCCUUCCAUGGAGCUGCCGGGGGGUUCGAACCACCAACCUUUGGUUAGAAGCUAAGCACAGUCUUUGGUUUGUGCCACCCAGGGACCUAUGGAAAAGCUUGUACCCGUUCACUGCAACUUGCUGUGUAAAUAUGCUGUGGUUGUUUUCUCCCAUUUGUUAAAAUCAACCAACAAGAAAGAUGAUACACAAAUAUUCAUUGCAGCACUAUUCACAGUAGCCAAAGAGUGGAAACAACCCAAGUGUCCAUCCACAGAUGAAUGGAUAAACACAAUGUGGUCCAUCUGUACAAUGGAGCAUCACUCAGCUAUGAAGGGAAAUGAAGUCCUGAUGCAAGCCAUGAUGCGGCUAAACCUUGAAAACUUCACACUGAGAGAGUAAGCAGACACAAAGGACAAAUACCCUAUGGUCCCACUUUUAUAAAAUACCCAGAAUAGGCAAAUGCAUUAGACAUCAAAGUUUAUUAGUGGUUACCAGGGGAUGGGGGGUGGGGAUGGGGAAAUGAGGAGCUAUUACUUAAAAGGCACUGAAGUUCUGUUUGGGGUGAUGGAAAGUGCUGGAAAUAGAUAGCAGUGAUAGUUGUGCAACACUGGAAAUACAUUAAAUGUCUGACGGUGAAUUUUAUGGGUUUUCUCUUAGUCAUCUAGUGUGGUUAUAACAGAAAUACCACAACUGGGUGGCUUUAACAAACAGAAAAUUUAUUCUCUCACAGUCUGGGAGGCUAUAGGUCUGAAUUCAGGGCGCGGGCCCUAGGGGAAGGCUUUCUGUCUCUGUUGGCCCUGGAGGAAGGUCCUUGUCUCUUUGAGCUUCUGAUCCUGGGCAGAUCUUCAUGUGGCUUGGCAUCGGCUCUUCCUGUAUCUCUGCUGGCUUAAUCUGUUCUUUUUAUUUCUUGAAAAGGACUAAAUGAAGACACAUCCUACGCUAAAUCUGCCUCAUUAACAUAACGAAGACAACCCGUUCCUGAAUAGGAUGAUAACCACAGGCACAGAAGUUAGGAUUUAUAAGGCAUACUUUUCAGAGGCCCAAUUCAACCCGUAACACUCCACCCUUCAGCCCUCAGAAAAUCAUGUCCUUCUCACAUGCAAAGCAUGUUUACCCCAUCACAUCAUCCCAAAAGUCUUAAAUCAACUUCAAACCCAAAAUCUCAUUUUCUGAAUCACCUAAAUCGAAUACGGGUGAGACAUUAGGUGUAUUCCACCUGGGGGUAAAAUUGCUCUUCAUCUGUGAACCUGUGAAAUCUAGAAUACAAGUUAUCCGUUUCCAAAAUACAGUGAUAGAACAGGCACAAGGCAGACAUUUCCAUUACAAAUGGGAGAAAUUGGAGGGAAAGAAGGGAUAAUGGGCAUCAAGCAAGUGCAAAACCCAGCAGAACAAUUUACAAUAGCUCUCAAGGCUUGGAAAUAAUCCUCUGUUCUCUGAGACCAUCUGGGCAAUGGUCCUGUCCUCCAGACUCUGGGUGCUGGCCACACCCUUUGGAUUCUGGGUGGAGGUCCCUCUGCCCUGGGCUUCAGGUCUGCCUUCCAGGUCCACUAGGAUGGCAACUCUGCUCCCUUUGCUUCAGGUGGUCCCAUUCUCCUAGUCCAUCUGAGUGGCAACUCCAAACUCUCGGCCCCAGCAGGCCCCAUUCUUCUGCCUCUUGGGCAUGGCAGCCCCUCCUUCUGAGCUUUGGGCAGUGGCCCCAUCCUUCAGGCACUUGUGAAUGUCAGCCCUCACUCCGGUACUGAAUUGGUGAAGAUCUUCCUCUUUAAAACCUAGGAAGUCAUGGCCGCGCCCUUUGAGAUCCAGAAGACCGUGGCCCCACCCUUUGAAACUGAGAAGGCCCUGCUUCCUGAGCUCCUUCCAACAGUUCUGCUAAUCUCUGAGCUGCUCCAGGGGUGGCUCUUUGCUUUUCUGGGGGGCCUUUUUCCUGCCUGUAGAAUUCCAAGAGGCAGACAGCUUUCUUCCUUUUCUCUCUUUCUCUGUCCCUGUCAGUCUAAGUUGAUGGGUUUUUCUGCUGUGGUAGUUGGUUAGAUCCAUCAGUCACAGGCUUAAUCUGUUUAACAAAAUAUUGUGUAGCCACAUCCUUGGUGACCAUUCUAGGACAGGUGUCCUUAGUUUGUACAACAGAAUUUUCCAAAUCUUUAAGUUUUGUUUCCAUUUUGUACAGUUCAUUUUUAAGUCUGUCUCUUUCCUGUUGCAUUUUACAAUACACACAAAGAAGAAACCAUGUGGCUCCUUUAAGAUCUUGCUUAGAGAUCUCCUAAGCUAAGUCCAUCACUUACAAGUUCUGCCUUCCACCAAACAUUUGAACAUAAUUACGACAAGCUCUUUGCCGCUGCAUAAGAAGCAUCGCCCUUCCUCCACCGUCCAAUCACAUGUUCCUCAUUUUCUUUUAAAACUUCACCAGAAGAGCACUGAACAUCCACAUUUCUAGCAACAUUCUUUAGCUGGCACCAUAUGUAUUCUCUAAGUUGAUGGAGACCUUCUCUAUAGCUCUCUUCACUUCCUCGUGAGUCCUCACCAGAAUUGCCUUCAAUGUCCAUAAUUCUACCAAUGGUUUCUUCAAGGUAAACUAGGCUUUUACUAUUAGUCCCCUUAACACCCUUCUAACCUCUACCCAUUACCCAAUUCCAAAACCGUGUCCACAUUUUAUGUAUCUGUUAGAGCAGCACCCCACUCCCAGUACUAAAUUCUGUCUUAGUUAUAAAGUGCUACUGUAACAGAAUUACCACAGUGGGUGGCUUUUACAAACAGAAGUUUAUUUUCUUACAGUUUAGAAGGCUAAAUUCAGGGCACUGGCUCUAGGGGAAGGCUUUCUGUCUGCUGGCUCUGAGGGAAGGUCCUUGUCUCUUCAGCUUCUGCUUCCUCGUUCCUUGGAGAUCUCCAUGUGUCUAUCUUACCCCAUCUCUGCUUCUCUCACUUACUUGUCUAAUCUCUUUUUAUAUCUCAAAAGAGAUAGACUCCAGAUAUGCCCUACACUAAUCAUGCCUCAUUAACAUAACGAAGACAACCCUCUCCCAAAUGGGAUUAUAACUGGAGGCAUAGGGAUUAGGAUUUCCAACACAUAUUUCUUGGGGGCAUAAUUUAAUCCAUAAUACGUAUUAUGCCACAAUUUUUUUUAAAAGUCAUAAAAAGAAAGGAGGGAGAAGAAGACUAGUGUUAUGACUUUGUGUCUCCAAUCACCACAUGUGGACAUCGUAACCCCUAUACCUGUAAAUACGAUCCUGCUUAGUCAUAGGAAUUUUGUUUUGUUAUAUUAGUGAGGUCAUACUGGAGUAGGGUGGGUCCUAAACCUUAUCCCUUCUGAGUGGCCAGAGAAGCCUGGAAGCCCAAAAAACCAAGCCAGUUGCCAUCAAGUAGACCCCGACUCAUGGCACCCCCACAUUUGCCACAUUUGCUCCAUAGGGUUUGCAGUGCCUGAUUUUUUUGAAGCAAAUUGCCAGGACUUUCUUCCGAGAUGCGCCUGGGUGGACUUGAACUGCCAACCUUUCAAUUAGCAGCUGAGCACUUAACCACUUGAGCCACCUAGGGACUCCCUGGAGAACCCACCAAACCCUUUUUCCUUUGCCCAAGACCCACACCAGCAGGCUCCUCGAAGCGGCUGAGAUUCCUGCUGCAAGACCCCGAUCUCAAUCAUGGACAGAGAUUCCUGGUGGCUUCCAAGGCCCCGUGGGGCUCCUCCCAGGGGUGUUCAUCUGGACCAGUGGUCCUGUUUGGUCCUUUCAGUCUUCUGGAAGAGUCUCUGCCCUUCCUGGGGUCUUCUGGUGGCCGGGUUCGGUGUGACAAGAGCCGACACGUUUGCUGCCCAGAUGGGGAAACUGAGGCCCUGAAGGCAACUUCUUGGGGGCUGCAGCACCAGUGAGAGACCCCCACCUUGAGCCCCCAGUGCCCUGCCCCUGCUCAGCCUCCCAGUCUCCUCGUGGAGGACCAGUCCACUUCGGGAGAUUCCCCACACCUGAUUCUACCUCACAGCAGGUGGAGAGCAGAGAAAGCACCUUCUACUUUAGGAAUCUCAAGGUACAGCCCAGGGCGAGGGGGGUGGGGAACUGGUGGUUUUCAGCACUUGCCCUCCCUUCCCAAGCUCUCACCUGGCUGAGACCACCUGGCUGAGACACCCAGUCUGGCGUUGCCAAUGCAGCACCGAGGGGUCUCUGUAAAUGCUCCCACCAGGCAGGGGCUGGGGUGGGAUGCUGCCAACCAACAAACCAGGGUGGAGGUCACGUAAAAAGCACUGACCAUUUUCAUGACUGAAAUGAAAUGGGAUGACUGCUUCCCGAGGCUCUAUGCAUUUUCAUUUUGUUGUUAUUGAUCGGAUAUUGAGCUGUGGUGUUUUACUGUACUGUAUUACAAAUGGAAGCUAUAGCAAUUUAAUUUUGUAAAUGGCGUUAAGCACUGGUGGGAUACUAAAAGCAGAAUUAGACUUAAGUACUACAAGAUAUAUACACUAAACACACACAUACACACAUAUUCACAUGUACAUUGUUGUUGUUAAGUGCCGUUGAAUUGGUUCCUACUCAUAGUGACCCUACAGGACAGAGUAGAACUACCCCAUAGAGUUUCUAAGGAGUGGCUGGUGGAUUUGAACUGCUGACCUUUUGGCUAACAACUGAGCUCUUAACCACUGUGCCACCAGGGCUCCACUCACACAUAUAGACAUACACAUACACACAUACAUGUUUACACACGCACAUAUAUGCACAUGUGUAUAUAAACAGAUACAAACACACGUUACAUAAAUAUACAUGCAUAUAUUACGUGUGUUGGGUUUUUGUUAUGUACACAUCCACACGUAUACACGCACAUCCACAGAACAUAUAGACACAGAUAGAAACACACAUGCACACACGUGCAUACACACACACACACGUAUAUAUAAACAUGUUGUUGUUGUCAGGUGCCAUCAAGUCGGUUCUGGCUCGUAAUGACACUGUGUGCUACAGAAUGAAACACUGCCCGGUCCUGUGCCAUCCUCACAAUUGUUCUUAUACUUGAGCCCACUGUUGCAGCCACUGUGUCAAUCCACCUCGUUGAGGGUCUUCCUCUUUUGUGCUGAUCCUGUACUCUGCCAAGCAUGAUGUCCUUCUCCAGGGACUGAUCCCUCCCGACAACAUGUCCAGAGCCUGUAAGACGCAGUCUCGCCAUCCUAGCCUCUAAGGAGCAUUCUGGCCGCACUUGUUCCAAGACAGAUUUGUUCGUCCUUUUGGCAGUCCAUGGUGUAUUCAAUAUUCUUCGCCAACACCACAAUUCAAAGGCGUCAACUCUUCUUUGGUCUUCCUUAUUUAUUGUCCAGCUUUCACAUGCAUAUGAGGCGAUUGAAAAUACCAUGGCUUGGGUCAGGUGCACCUUAGUCUUCAGGGUGACAUCUUUUCUCUUCAACACUUUAAAGAGGCCUUUUUUUUUUUGAGCAGCAGACUUGCCCAGUGCAAUGCGUCUAUUGAUUUCUCGACUGCUGCUUCCAUGGGUGUUGAUUGUGGAUUCAAGUAAAUCGAAAUCCUUGACAACUUCAAACUUUUCUCCGUGUAUCAUGAUCCUGACCAGUGGCAACCCUAUGUACAGAGUAAAACUGUGUUCAACAGGGUUUUCAAUGGCUGAUUUUUUUGUUAUGUAUAUUUUUCAUUUUUGUUAGUUGUCAAUCCAGCUUCAACUCAUGACAACUCCAUGUGUGUCAGAAUAGAACUGGGAUCCAGGAGGUUUUCAAGACUGUUACCUUUCAGAAGCAGAUUGCCCGGUCUUUCUUCUGAGCUGCCUCUGGGUGGAUUUCAACCCACAAGUUUCUGGCAUCGAGCAACCACAGAGACGAGACUGGCACCCUAUGGAUUCCCGUAGAUAAUCUGGAUGGCGCAAAGGGUGAAGUGCUCAACUACUAGACAGAAGGGAUAUUGUUGAGAGAUUACGGAGAAAGCACCGGAGGGUGCAAACCCUCAAUCCGUUUUUAGAAAGCACAAACAAAUCCUGUGGAUGGUAGAGUCUGUCUUUGACCACAGAGAGGAGGAUCCCCAGAAAGAAAACAGGCCGGAGCGCCAGGAAAGCUCGUGAUUCUUUCUGCCAUUGCGUGACAGGCUGUGGAGGUAAGAGGAAGUGGGAGAUGACAUAGCCCUAAACUCAGCGAGCUGCAACCGCAGCCUCCACCUGGAUUCCGAGAGCUGGGGACAAGCUUCAGAGACCCGCUGGACCCUCCAGGGCUCCACCGUCUUAGGGAACCUGGUGAGAGGGUCCGUGCUUCCUGCUGCAGGAGUUGCAACGAGCAACCAAGUCCCUCCUCACUCCUGCUCCCCAGCUAGGCGUAGGGGACAACACUGCCCGCCAACAAUCCCUGCCUCCUGCUGCCUCCCGAUCCUCCUAGAGACCCUGCCCCUCCCCUAGCCAUCCUCUAUCCAAAUAACCAAACCAUUUGCUGUCGACUCCAACUCAUGGCGCCCCUGUGUAUGUCAGAGGAGAACUGUGCUCCACAGGGUUUUUCAAUGGAUGAUUUUUCAAGAAAUAGAUCUCCAGGCCUUUCUUCGGAGACAACUCUGGGUGGACUCGAACCUCCAACCUUUCAGUGAGCAGCCCAGCACUUUAAUGUUUGCACCACCCAGGGAUGCCAAAACCAAACCCAUUGCCGUUGAGUCAAGCCCAACUCAUGGCGACCCCGUGUGUGUCAGAGGAGAACUGUGCUCCAUUGAGUUUUCAGUGGCUGAUUUUUCGAAAGGAGAUCACCAGGCCUUUCUUCUAACGCGCCUCUGGGUGGACUCGAACUGGCAACCUUUUGGCUAGCAGCCGAGCGUGUUAACUGUUUGCAUCACCUAGGACUCCCCCAUGCUCUCCGCGCACACGGCCUUCACAGUACCCAUCGUAAGGGGAGGCAUUUCUGUGCAUUGCUUCCCUCUCUUGCUGCCUGUCUUUCUCCUUGUUCUGGGUGUGCGACAUACACCUGCCAGGCCCUGGUGCGAUCCAUGUGUUAUGUUCACAUAUGUAUGCUUUAUAUACCUGUGAGGAAACACUCCAUAGGAUGAAUUACCAGCCAUGUAACUGCUGAGUUGAAGGGACUGUGUGUGCACGUUAAAAAAAGGGCAUUGGGCCUUGUUGAGUUUCCUUUCCAAAAAUCGAGCCCGUGUGCACCCUCAGUGCUGGCAGGGGACAGAGCACAUUCCCUGAGUCAUCUGUGGGUAUCUCAAAGGCAACAUGACAACCUUCCCUCUUUAGGACUAGAAAAAUACAGACUGCAUUAAAAGUUCUGGAAUAAAUAAAGACAGUUCUAACGAGAGAAUGGAUUCCCUAGGGCAGAUUUCAUACAAAGGGUAACGUUCGUGGGAAGCACUGGGCUGACGUCUUUCCUGAGCACUGAGGCUGAAGUGACUGACCCUGGAUGCAAGACCCUAGGAUUAAAAUAGCAGCUUCCUGCAGCUGCCAUUAGGGAGGGGGGUGUGCCACCUGGUGGAUAGGGCUUGUAUUGAAUAAAGGCUUGAGAGGAUGGAUGGUGGAGAGAAGGAUGGCUGGGUGAGUGGUAGGUGGAUGGAUGGAUGGAUGAGUGGGUGGAUAGAUGGAUGGGUGGGCGGGUGAGAGGAUGGAUGGAUGUGUGGCGGACAUAUGGAUAGAUGGAUGUGUGGGUGGGUGGAUGGGUGAGUGGCUGGCCGGAUGG